GGCAGCAGCUAAGAAUAUUCCGCAAUGGACGAAAGUCUGACGGAGCGACGCCGCGUGGAUGAUGGAGGCCGGAAGGUUGUAAAAUCCUUUUAUGACUGAGGAAUAAGGAAAGUGAGAGAAACGCUUUCUGGUGACUGUAGGUCAUGAAUAAGCAACGGCUAAUUACGUGCCAGCAGCCGCGGUAACACGUAAGUUGCGAGCGUUGUUCGGAAUUAUUGGGCGUAAAGGGCAUGUAGGCGGUUAUGCAAGUCUGGUGUGAAAUGCCGGGGCUUAACCCCGGAACUGCGUUGGAAACUGCAUGACUUGAGUCGCUGAGGGGCAGCCAGAAUUCCAGGUGUAGGGGUGAAAUCUGUAGAUAUCUGGAAGAAUACCAAUGGCGAAGGCAGGCUGCCAGCAGAUGACUGACGCUGAGGUGCGAAGGUGCGGGGAGCAAACAGGAUUAGAUACCCUGGUAGUCCGCACAGUCAACUAUGUACACUGGGUGUCCGUGCAUGAGCAUGGGUGCCGAAGCAAACGCGAUAAGUGUACCGCCUGGGGAGUAUGCCCGCAAGGGUGAAACUCAAGGAAUUGACGG
rnacentral:rRNA from 1 species